AUCAAUUGGGAGGAUGAGUUAAAGAUGAAUCACUGCUGGGAAAUCAGUGCUGGGCGUCCACACUGAGCACGGCACGGCCGUGAGCCACAGCCGACGUACAAAGUGGAUAAAAAGGAACAGGUCAAGUAAAGAGAGCGAGGUCAACCUGGACAAAUUAACUAACCAGGGGUUUUAACCUCGUUCAGCUGCUGUGGCGUCUUCACAAAGCUGUUUUUCUGAUUGUGUUCAGUGUGAACGCACCAGAGGUUUGACACCCAGAUCAACUCAGUGGUCUGUGCCAACAAACCACAGCCUUUAACUUUUCCACUUUAACAAUUCCACUAAAGCAUUGCAUUUCAAUUAGGAAAACUAUAAAAAAAAACAAUGGAAAUUU